CGUUUAGUGGGUUAGGGUGCGCUGAGGAGGGUAGCUUGGUUGUUUCUUUAUUGUCUCCUUUUUUGUCUCUUUAGUUCGCUGGAGAGGCACUGCCCAUCCCAAGGUCGGACGCCGUGGGAAGGCCGGCCCGACGAUCGCCGCGCGGCGGGGAGGCCGGAUGGGGAAGGAGACCGCGGUUGAGGGGACAGGGACGGGGGUUCGUCGGGCGGUCGCGGCGGCUGGUCUGGAAGCGGGAAGAAGGUGGCGGCGAGGAGGAGACGUCCAGAUCGGACGGUUCCACUUCUGAACCCUGCUCUAUUACCGUUCGGAGCGACUAAGGAAGAACCGGCUAGAACUGCUUGAAAGUCUGUUACUUCGGAUAGGACUUCUUCUGUUGCGACUCCGUCACCCACACCUACUCCUACCACUACUACUAUACGGACUGGAGCUCAGAGAAUUAGCACUGCUAGAACUGUCACAGAGUUUUGAUGUUUUCUGUGUUGCAAUAUAACUGUAUUACGUUUUUCAGCUUCCUCGUGAACUCUUUCCGUGUCUAAACAGAUUAGUUCCCAAGUAGGACCUCCUCCUAGGUCUCAUGGUCGAGUAACAUCUGUUUAGACACGGAAAGCGUUGAACAAUCUUCUUUAAGCAUUCUUCUAGCUCUUCACCGCUCUUGGUGGAGGACGUUUCGAAGGUUUUGGUGAAGGACAUGGUCUGAGGCUCGGAUUUUUCUUCUCUCCCCCAGCGGCGGAAGCUUUUUACUUUCUUUCUAUACGCCAUUGACUAUACUACUUCGAACGUUUGGCUUACGUCAAACCUUAUGGUCUCCUCUCGAGUAAUCCACUACCAAACCCCCUUCCAAUGCCGUACGAGCCCGUCCGGCCUUCACCCUUCGAUGCACAGAGUCGACGUGUCUUGUUUGAACGACGAUUUCACCGUUUUUUUAAGUUCCUCUUCUCAAUACCAUCGUCACCACGUUGUAGACCUGACUGUAGAUCAAACUGGAAAUGUGGUCAAGUCCCUUAUCUUGACAGUUUGGGUGUCCGUGUGCCCUUGGAAGAACCUUCACCUUAGGUCUCGUGGAUGAAGAGCCUCUGGCCGUGUAAAAGAGCCUAGUCAUCCGGACCUCUAAUCUUAGACUUUUUCAUUCUUGGACUAAAACUCUAGUCUUCGCUACUAACAAAGAACCAGACUCGCUAAAGUAGGGUAAGCCGUGUGUUAAGGGUUCUUGGUUGACAACCCUACGUGAACGCGUGUUGCUCGAACAUUAUAAGAGUCUACAUAGCGUACCAGACAUUACAUUCAUGUCAAAGGGACGUUUUUUCUUUUUACAUUCAUGUCAAACACGUGAUGUUGUAGUCUUACAUACUCAGUCCGUCAUGUGUUGUAAGUAAUGGAUACGAAGCUCGCACCUAUUUAAAAGAUCUUUUGGACAACCUG
rnacentral:rRNA from 1 species